rnacentral:rRNA from 1 species
UAUCUACAGGCUUAACACAUGCAAGUCGAGGGGCAUCAGGAAGAAAGCUUGCUUUCUUUGCUGGCGACCGGCGCACGGGUGAGUAACACGUAUCCAACCUGCCCUUUACUCGGGGAUAGCCUUUCGAAAGAAAGAUUAAUACCCGAUAGCAUAAUGAUUCCGCAUGGUUUCAUUAUUAAAGGAUUCCGGUAAAGGAUGGGGAUGCGUUCCAUUAGGUUGUUGGUGAGGUAACGGCUCACCAAGCCUUCGAUGGAUAGGGGUUCUGAGAGGAAGGUCCCCCACAUUGGAACUGAGACACGGUCCAAACUCCUACGGGAGGCAGCAGUGAGGAAUAUUGGUCAAUGGGCGGUAGCCUGAACCAGCCAAGUAGCGUGAAGGAUGAAGGCUCUAUGGGUCGUAAACUUCUUUUAUAUAAGAAUAAAGUGCAGUAUGUAUACUGUUUUGUAUGUAUUAUAUGAAUAAGGAUCGGCUAACUCCGUGCCAGCAGCCGCGGUAAUACGGAGGAUCCGAGCGUUAUCCGGAUUUAUUGGGUUUAAAGGGAGCGUAGGUGGACUGGUAAGUCAGUUGUGAAAGUUUGCGGCUCAACCGUAAAAUUGCAGUUGAUACUGUCAGUCUUGAGUACAGUAGAGGUGGGCGGAAUUCGUGGUGUAGCGGUGAAAUGCUUAGAUAUCACGAAGAACUCCGAUUGCGAAGGCAGCUCACUGGACUGCAACUGACACUGAUGCUCGAAAGUGUGGGUAUCAAACAGGAUUAGAUACCCUGGUAGUCCACACAGUAAACGAUGAAUACUCGAUGUUUGCGAUAUACAGUAAGCGGCCAAGCGAAAGCAUUAAGUAUUCCACCUGGGGAGUACGCCGGCAACGGUGAAACUCAAAGGAAUUGACGGGGGCCCGCACAAGCGGAGGAACAUGUGGUUUAAUUCGAUGAUACGCGAGGAACCUUACCCGGGCUUAAAUUGCAGUGGAAUGAUGUGGAAACAUGUCAGUGAGCAAUCACCGCUGUGAAGGUGCUGCAUGGUUGUCGUCAGCUCGUGCCGUGAGGUGUCGGCUUAAGUGCCAUAACGAGCGCAACCCUUAUCUUCAGUUACUAACAGGUCAUGCUGAGGACUCUGGAGAGACUGCCGUCGUAAGAUGUGAGGAAGGUGGGGAUGACGUCAAAUCAGCACGGCCCUUACGUCCGGGGCUACACACGUGUUACAAUGGGGGGUACAGAAGGCAGCUAGCGGGUGACCGUAUGCUAAUCCCAAAAUCCUCUCUCAGUUCGGAUCGAAGUCUGCAACCCGACUUCGUGAAGCUGGAUUCGCUAGUAAUCGCGCAUCAGCCACGGCGCGGUGAAUACGUUCCCGGGCCUUGUACACACCGCCCGUCAAGCCAUGGGAGCCGGGGGUACCUGAAGUACGUAAAAGCAAGGAUCGUCCUAGGGUAAAACUGGUGAC